GGGCGAGUAACGCGUGAGUAACCUGCCCAUAAGAGGGGGAUAAUCCAUGGAAACGUGGACUAAUACCGCAUAUUGUAGUUAAGUUGCAUGACUUGAUUAUGAAAGAUUUAUCGCUUAUGGAUGGACUCGCGUCAGAUUAGAUAGUUGGUGAGGUAACGGCUCACCAAGUCAACGAUCUGUAGCCGAACUGAGAGGUUGAUCGGCCGCAUUGGGACUGAGACACGGCCCAGACUCCUACGGGAGGCAGCAGUGGGGAAUAUUGCGCAAUGGGGGCAACCCUGACGCAGCAACGCCGCGUGCAGGAAGAAGGUCUUCGGAUUGUAAACUGUUGUCGCAAGGGAAGAAGACAGUGACGGUACCUUGUGAGAAAGUCACGGCUAACUACGUGCCAGCAGCCGCGGUAAUACGUAGGUGACAAGCGUUGUCCGGAUUUACUGGGUGUAAAGGGCGCGUAGGCGGACUAUCAAGUCAGUCGUGAAAUACCGGGGCUUAACCCCGGGGCUGCGAUUGAAACUGACAGCCUUGAGUAUCGGAGAGGAAAGCGGAAUUCCUAGUGUAGCGGUGAAAUGCGUAGAUAUUAGGAGGAACACCAGUGGCGAAGGCGGCUUUCUGGACGACAACUGACGCUGAGGCGCGAAAGUGUGGGGAGCAAACAGGAUUAGAUACCCUGGUAGUCCACACCGUAAACGAUGGAUACUAGGUGUAGGAGGUAUCGACCCCUUCUGUGCCGCAG
rnacentral:rRNA from 1 species